GGGGUUGUGGCUCAGUGGCAGAGCACUUGCCUCGCAUGUAUGAGGCACUGGGUUCAAUCCUUAGCACCA
rnacentral:tRNA from 1 species